ACAAAGGUCAAUGUGUCUAGUUUUACCACAAAAAGUUUCAAGGGCAUUGGAUGCAACAUGACAAUUUCACAAAAGGAAUGGCACAAUGUAUCAUUUAAGCAUACAUGUUGGGAAAACAAUUAUCAUUAAAAAUCCAGCCAAUGGAAAAUUAAUUAAAAUUCACAAUAAAAUAGAGGACACAUUCAUGAACAUGAUGGAAAAAAUUGCAUGAUUUUUGGAUAAAAAUUGAGAGAGAAAUUAAUUGUUGAAGUUGGAUGAAAUUUGAGGCAAGC
rnacentral:lncRNA from 1 species